rnacentral:rRNA from 1 species
CCGCCUGGGGAGUACGACCGCAAGGUUGAAACUCAAAGGAAUUGACGGGGGCCCGCACAAGCGGUGGAGCAUGUGGUUUAAUUCGAAGCAACGCGAAGAACCUUACCAGGUCUUGACAUCCCGAUGCUAUUUCUAGAGAUAGGAAGUUACUUCGGUACAUCGGUGACAGGUGGUGCAUGGUUGUCGUCAGCUCGUGUCGUGAGAUGUUGGGUUAAGUCCCGCAACGAGCGCAACCCUUAUGACUAGUUGCCAGCAUUUAGUUGGGCACUCUAGUAAGACUGCCGGUGACAAACCGGAGGAAGGUGGGGAUGACGUCAAAUCAUCAUGCCCCUUAUGACCUGGGCUACACACGUGCUACAAUGGAUGGUACAACGAGUUGCGAGACCGCGAGGUCAAGCUAAUCUCUUAAAGCCAUUCUCAGUUCGGACUGUAGGCUGCAACUCGCCUACACGAAGUCGGAAUCGCUAGUAAUCGCGGAUCAGCACGCCGCGGUGAAUACGUUCCCGGGCCUUGUACACACCGCCCGUCACACCAUGAGAGUUUGUAACACCCGAAGCCGGUGGCGUAACCCUUUUAGGGAGCGAGCCGUCUAAGGUGGGACAAAUGAUUAGGGUGAAGUCGUAACAAGGUAGCCGUAGGAGAACCUGCGGCUG